AGGAGCCGGAUGAGGGGAAAGCUCUCAUGUCCGGUUCUGAAGGCGGGCAGGAGGGAGCGAUCCCUCUUGCCUAGCUCUC
rfam:Ktedonobacter racemifer DSM 44963 strain SOSP1-21 Krac_Contig206, whole genome shotgun sequence.